rnacentral:rRNA from 1 species
UGGGGAAUUUUGGACAAUGGGGGCAACCCUGAUCCAGCCAUUCCGCGUGAGUGAAGAAGGCCUUCGGGUUGUAAAGCUCUUUCAGCUGGAACGAAACGGUGCGCUCUAACAUAGUGUGCUAAUGACGGUACCAGCAGAAGAAGCACCGGCUAACUACGUGCCAGCAGCCGCGGUAAUACGUAUGGGGCAAGCGUUGUUCGGAAUCACUGGGCGUAAAGGGCGUGUAGGCGGUUCGAAAAGCCUGGCGUGAAAGGUGUCGGCCCAACCGACAGACGGCGCUGGGAACUGCCGGACUGGAGUCACGGAGGGGGAGCUGGAAUUCCAGGUGUAGGGGUGAAAUCUGUAGAGAUCUGGAAGAACACCGGUGGCGAAGGCGAGCUUCUGGCCGAUGACUGACGCUGAGGCGCGAAAGCGUGGGGAGCAAACAGGAUUAGAUACCCUGGUAGUCCACGCUGUAAACGAUGUGCACUAGGUGUUGGUGCCAUACGGGCAUCGGUGCCGUAGCUAAGGCGAUAAGUGCACCGCCUGGGGAGUAUGCUCGCAAGGGUG